GUGAAAUUCAGAUGCCCUGCCCCAUCUCAGAUCCAUUAAAUGAGAAUUCCAAGAGUUGAGCCUAGAAAAUCUAUGUCCUCGUCAGCCAACCUCGUCCUAGUCGUCUGGAAGGCAUUCAGGAGCCGCUCAUCUUACAAAGGUCAAGGCCACACCCAGUUAAAAACAGAGACACCCUGUGGAUCUGUCCAAUAGAGGAGACUGGGCAGAUGUCAGCCCUCUGAGGAUGUCAUCAGGCAUUUGGACUUGGAUGACUGGAAGGGAUUGAGCUGAAGCUUCACCCCAGAAACAAUAACAACAAAAGUUCAAAACCUGAAAAGUGAACCAUGAAGCUCAGUAAAAAGGACCGAGGAGAAGAUGAAGAAAGUGAUUCAGCGAAAAAGAAAUUGGUCAGUCCUUUUUUUUUUCUGUCUCCCUUACAUGAUUAUUCCGGUCACCCAGGGGGUAGUACCCCUUUCCCCUGGGUCAGUGGGAGGCUGUUAAGGUGAAGCUGGGCAGAGAAAAGAGUGAGCAGCAGCUGAAAGCCAAGUUCUAUGGGAAGGAGCCAUGGGGAUUGUAGAGUGUCUGGG
rnacentral:lncRNA from 1 species